UGUUGGGAUCCACUGCUCUAAAGGAACCAGAUCAAACCUGACCUUGAAAGUUAAGUGGGGUUAGGUCUGGUUAGUAUUUGGAUAGGAGACCACAAAGGGAACUGACACAUUCCGAUGA
rnacentral:rRNA from 1 species